AGUCUCAGUUCGGAUUGCAGGCUGCAACUCGCCUGCAUGAAGUCGGAAUUGCUAGUAAUCGCGGAUCAGCAUGCCGCGGUGAAUACGUUCCCGGGCCUUGUACACACCGCCCGUCAAGCCAUGAAAGCCGGGGGCGCCUGAAGUCCGUGACCGCGAGGGUCGGCCUAGGGUGAAACCGGUGAUUGGGGCUAAGUCGUAACAAGGUACC
rnacentral:rRNA from 1 species